UACGAGGGGGGCAAGCGUUGUUCGGAAUUAUUGGGCGUAAAGGGCGCGUAGGCGGUGCGGUAAGUCACCUGUGAAAACUCUGGGCUCAACUCAGAGACUGCUUCCGAAACUGCUGUGCUGGAGUGUGGGAGAGGCGCGUGGAAUUGCAGGUGUAGCGGUGAAAUGCGUAGAUAUCUGCAGGAACACCCGUGGCGAAAGCGGCGCGCUGGACCACUACUGACGCUGAGGAACGAAAGCUAGGGGAGCAAACAGG
rnacentral:rRNA from 1 species